CUACGGGCUGCACCAGUGAGGAAUUUUGCGCAAUGGGGGGAACCCUGACGCAGCAACGCCGCGUGAGUGAUGAAGGCUUUCGGGUCGUAAAGCUCUGUCAAGUGGGAAGAACCUAUGCAGUGUUAAUAUCACUGUAUACUGACGGUACCACUGAAGGAAGCACCGGCUAACUCCGUGCCAGGCAGCCGCGGUAAUACGGGGGGUGCAAGCGUUAUUCGGAAUCAUUGGGCGUAAAGGGCACGUAGGCGGCUUGGUAAGUCAGAUGUGAAAGCCCGGGGCUUAACCCGGGAAGUGCAUUUGAUACUGUUAGGCUUGGGUAAGGGAGAGGGAAGUGGAAUUCCUGGGGUAGAGGUGAAAUUCGUAGAUAUCAGGAGGAACACCGGUGGCGAAGGCGACUUCCUGGAACAAUACUGACGCUGAGGUGCGAAGGCGUGGGUAGCAAACAGGAUUAGAUACCCUUGAGUC
rnacentral:rRNA from 1 species